rnacentral:lncRNA from 1 species
AAAACCCUGCCUCACAAAGAAAGGGUGUUGGAAAUGGAAGCAGGCUUUUCAGUGCUUUUGUGGCAACCUCAGGAUACUCUCCCUUGACUUCAAUCGAACAUAUGGAGAUGUGAAGUUAUCUCAGACAUAAUUCUAAGAUCACCGUUCCUUGUGACUCAAGAAGUUGAUCCUCUUCUAGCAAAGACAGAGUCGAUUCACCUGGCUUCUUCACACAUGGGACCCCUGCUCUAGAAGGAGGACAGAAGGACACACCACACUCACAAGGCGAUGAUCAAUCAGAAGCCCUGGGUGGAGGAGCUGCCUCAGGAAGUGGUCCCAGCUCUGAGGACAGUGACAAUGAGGAACACCAGUCGCUGCUUUUUGUCAAGAUUGAAAAAGCUUCCUUGUGCUGGCAGCCAAUGCAGAGAUUCACCAGGAGUGAGACAGAAAGAGAGAUACAGAGGCCCAGGACCUCCAGCCAUCCCCACAGCCCAGAUCCACCCUGGGCUUUCCAAGCGCUUGAGCCAAUAAAUCUCCUCUGCUCUUUAUUCCUCCUAAACUAAGUUUCUUUCACCGACAGCCAAGCAUUUACUAACAUGCUCAAGAAAUACCUGUUGGGGCCAGUCACAGCUUCCCAAACCCUGGCAUGUCUUCAAGAUCCCAGGUCUAAAAGGCCCUGGUUCUAAAUCAACGAUCGGGACCCCACAAGUUCCUGAUAGGUUUAAUACACUCUCACA